UAUACACACCUUGUUUCUUCCUAGCUGCAAACUGUUAUGUGAAACUAACAGCCACUGUUAGUGACUUAUCUGUGAAGAGAAGUACAAGAAAGAUUUAAAAGCCACUCCAUAAAUGUCACCCUUGCCAACAAUUUUAAUUUGAUGGAGCAGAAGUGACAUCAUAGGCAGCAUGAGGGGGUUGUGGUAUAAAUAGCAAGAACCCUUUAACUCAGGGGUAUUGGCUAGCCCUUCUGGUAGCUGCCUCUGCUUCUGGAGUCUGGCUGUUCGGCAUGCGGCUUUGUGAUUCGAACUGCAUCAGGUACCCAGGAGUCAGCACCUGGCUCCUGCAUACGUGUUCUGGACCAGAGGACGGCCUAUGCCCCUCCACCUCCCUCACACUCAUAUUUGGUCUGGAGCAAGGGGUCUGGGUUUCCUUCCUGCUGGCCACAUGUUAGCUGGCUCGUGUCAGACUGGAUUGAUGCCUUCUUUUCUAGCUUACCCUUCUCCUCUCAUGCCAUGGUUCUGAGGAACAGGGAACUGCGCAAGACGAAUUGUUCUUAGGUUUGUAGCCAGGAUGCCAGCCUAUCCGGGAGGUUGGAGACUGCAGGGAACAGCAGGGUAGCACUGAGGCCUGACUUUCAGGCAACUGCCCCACCUGGAACUCUGCUGAGAGCUGCAACCUGCCAUCUGAAAGCUAACCACCGCGCUGACUCACCAUCCUUGUGGUUGAGAGAACACCAGCGAGCAAGAGGCUCCCAUGAGCCCUGGGGCUUCAAAAUAUAGGCCAGAGAGCCCCCACCGGAAGGGGCUUCGAGACCCAUAGAGGAUGCAACCUGAGGAUUGGCAGGGGCUCUGGCAGUAUGCAGUGGAGACAAGGAAGUGAAUCCAUUCACCUGUUAUCACCUCUUCUGAUUAGAAACUCCAAACCCUGUGAUGUCAUAGUCUCUGUCUAGGGGCUUGGUCUAUGUAGGAGGAAGCCUGUAUGCCGCCAUUAACCAUGUGACUUACUAGAGGCGCAUACAGAUGAGGUAAUAAAAGAGCGGUUACCACACCGCUAACCACACCCACUUUAAG